GAAGAAGCACCGGCUAACUCCGUGCCAGCAGCCGCGGUAAUACGGAGGGUGCGAGCGUUAAUCGGAAUUACUGGGCGUAAAGCGCAUGCAGGUGGUUUGUUAAGUCAGAUGUGAAAGCCCGGGGCUCAACCUCGGAAUAGCAUUUGAAACUGGCAGACUAGAGUACUGUAGAGGGGGGUAGAAUUUCAGGUGUAGCGGUGAAAUGCGUAGAGAUCUGAAGGAAUACCGGUGGCGAAGGCGGCCCCCUGGACAGAUACUGACACUCAGAUGCGAAAGCGUGGGGAGCAAACAGGAUUAGAUACCCUGGUAGUCCACGCCGUAAACGAUGUCUACUUGGAGGUUGUGGCCUUGAGCCGUGGCUUUCGGAGCUAACGCGUUAAGUAGACCGCCUGGGGAGUACGGUCGCAAGAUUAAAACUCAAAUGAAUUGACGGGGGCCCGCACAAGCGGUGGAGCAUGUGGUUUAAUUCGAUGCAACGCGAAGAACCUUACCUACUCUUGACAUCCAGAGAACUUUCCAGAGAUGGAUUGGUGCCUUCGGGAACUCUGAGACAGGUGCUGCAUGGCUGUCGUCAGCUCGUGUUGUGAAAUGUUGGGUUAAGUCCCGCAACGAGCGCAACCCUUAUCCUUGUUUGCCAGCGAGUAAUGUCGGGAACUCCAGGGAGACUGCCGGUGAUAAACCGGAGGAAGGUGGGGACGACGUCAAGUCAUCAUGGCCCUUACGAGUAGGGCUACACACGUGCUACAAUGGCGCAUACAGAGGGCGGCCAACUUGCGAGAGUGAGCGAAUCCCAAAAAGUGCGUCGUAGUCCGGAUUGGAGUCUGCAACUCGACUCCAUGAAGUCGGAAUCGCUAGUAAUCGUGGAUCAGAAUGCCACGGUGAAUACGUUCCCGGGCCUUGUACACACCGCCCGUCACACCAUGGGAGUGGGCUGCAAAAGAAGUAGGUAGUUUAACCUUCGGGGGGACGCUUACCACUUUGUGGUUCAUGACUGGGGUGAAGUCGUAACAAGGUAGCGCUAGGGGAACCUGGCGCUGGAUCACCUCCUU
rnacentral:rRNA from 1 species